rnacentral:rRNA from 1 species
UACGUAGGGUGCAAGCGUUGUCCGGAAUUAUUGGGCGUAAAGAGCUCGUAGGCGGCUUGUCGCGUCGUCCGUGAAAACUUGGGGCUCAACUCCAAGCUUGCGGUCGAUACGGGCAGGCUCGAGUUCGGUAGGGGAGACUGGAAUUCCUGGUGUAGCGGUGAAAUGCGCAGAUAUCAGGAGGAACACCGGUGGCGAAGGCGGGUCUCUGGGCCGAUACUGACGCUGAGGAGCGAAAGCGUGGGGAGCGAACAGG